AGGGUUCUCUAGGUAUUAUGUCUGAGGAAA
rnacentral:piRNA from 1 species